rnacentral:lncRNA from 1 species
CAAACACUUGAAUCUUACAUCGCUAUUGAUGUUAAGCAAUUAGUUAAAAGGGCCAUCCGGAACUGUUGGGUUUUAUGACAGUCUUCCUUCCAUACAGACCAUCGCUGCAAAAUAAUUUGAACAUUCAAUUAGAUGAUUAUAAUAUUAUUUGGCAAUCCAAAGAGAACCUGAAAAUAUUAGACCACAAUGAACAGAGACCCCA